GACGAACGCUGGCGGCGUGCCUAAUCCAUGCAAGUAGAACGCAGUUGCGAACGGGUGAGUAACGCGUAGGUAACUGCCUGUUAUCGGGGGAUAACUAUUGUCAACGAUAGCUCAUACCGCAUACUACCAGCUGGACCUGCGUUGUAUUAGCUAGUUGGUGGGGUAACGGCUCACCAAGGCAACGAAACAUAGCCGACCUGAGCGGGGGAUCGGCCACACUGGGACUGGGACAGGGCCCAGACUCCUACGGGAGGCAGCAGGAGGGAAUCUUCGGAAAUGGACGGAAGUCUGACAGAGCAAAGCCGCGUGAGUUAAGAAGGUUUGCGGAUCGUAAAGCUCUGUUGUAAGAGAAGCGGUAUCUGACCAGAAAGGGACGGCUAACUACGUGCCAGCAGCCGCGGUAAUAC
rnacentral:rRNA from 1 species